rnacentral:rRNA from 1 species
UUACCAGGGUUUGACAUACAAGUGGUAGAGAAGCGAAAGCGGACGACCCUUCGGGAGCUUGUACAGGUGCUGCAUGGCUGUCGUCAGCUCGUGUCGUGAGAUGUUCGGUUAAGUCCGCUAACGAGCGCAACCCUCGCUGUGUGUUACAAGUGUCACACGGAACUGCCGGUCAUAAACCGGAGGAAGGUGGGAUGACGUCAAGUCAGCAUGGCCUUUAUAUCCUGGGCUACACACACGCUACAAUGGGAAGGGACAAUAGGUUGCGAAGCCGCGAGGUGGAGCCAAUCCAGUAAAACUUCCCUCAGUUCAGAUUGCAGGCUGCAACUCGCCUGCAUGAAGUUGGAGUUGCUAGUAAACGCAGGUCAGCCAUACUGCGUUGAAUACGUUCCCGGGGCUU